rnacentral:rRNA from 1 species
UACAGAGGGGGCAAGCGUUGCUCGGAAUUACUGGGCGUAAAGGGCGCGUAGGCGGGAUGGCAAGUCGGUCGUGAAAUCCCUCGGCUCAACUGAGGAGCGUCGAUCGAAACUGCCGUUCUUGAGGGUUGCAGAGGAGACUGGAAUUCCAGGUGUAGCGGUGAAAUGCGUAGAUAUCUGGAGGAACACCGGUGGCGAAGGCGGCGUCCUGGACCAACACUGACACUGAUGAGCGAAAGCCAGGGGAGCAAACGGG